UAUAAUCGUUGCUUUAAAGAUCCGCGCCUGGAAUGCACCUGGAUGUCCUAUAAAUAGCCCGAGUUUUUAAGUGUGUUUCUUUCCGGGCUAACGUACUACAUGCAUGUAUGUAUCAUCUUUCACAUGAUAAGGAAUUCACACGCACGCAUACACUGCACGUGACGAAGGGAUAACAGCACACUCACUACACACAGGAAAAGUCUCGUGAUUUUAUACAGCGGGAGCAUCCAUCACCUAAUAUCGCCAAACUUCAGAUAAAUCAAGAUGGGCAAGGGUGAAGGAGGUGCCGGAAUUCUGUGGGCGUUCCUGUGGUUCCUGAUUUUAAUAUUCCUUGGCUGGCCAAUCGGAUUCUUCAUCGCCUGGCUUUACGUCCUCUUACUGCCGUUUGGGGCGUGUAUCGCUCCGAUCAAAGACGUCAAUCAACACAUACUGGGCGUGGUCCAACUACCUCUGACAUGCGCAGAAAACAUGAUUGCUAUGAAACCACUCUGCUAAAAUAUUUUAAAAUUUGUACGCACGCGUACUGUUGAGGCAGCAUCAGAUAUGUGUUUCAUAUAGCAUUUUUGUAUAUAAUCUAUGUAUACAUUUGUAUUUGAUGUGAAAAAUUUUAAAUUGUAUUUUGUUUUGUAGAGUGAUUUUUGUAUUCUUAUACUAAUCGAUUAAACAUUAAACAAAAA